rnacentral:lncRNA from 1 species
GUCCAUUAUUCCUGAGCAACACGAAAUGCACGUAUCUCCAUUGUCUAAAUAUGAUUGACAAGAGUUUAAAACUGAACUUACUUGAAGGUUGAGUUGACGGGCACGAGCACGAGUAAGAGGACCAGCUAUAGGUUGUGUCGGAGAGGAUGUAGGACCAGCUAUAGGUUGUGCCGGAGAGGAUGUAGGAUAUGUAUCGCUGGUGGAUGU